rnacentral:antisense_RNA from 1 species
CUUGGCCGAGCCCAGCCACAACGGCUCCGAGCGGUCGUGGCCGUACGUGGCGAGCAGGGCCUCGGCCUC